rnacentral:misc_RNA from 1 species
CACCCCUCAAGCCCAGCUUGGUGUUGGGGCAUUACCUGGCUGUCUCCUGACAGGCGGGUAAGCCCUGAAAUGUAGUGGCGAGCUCGCCAGGACUCCGAGCGCAGUAGUGUAAACCUCGCUCUGGAUCGUACUGGCGCGGCCCUGCCGUAAAACCCCCAACUUCUGAAA